rnacentral:rRNA from 1 species
UACGUAGGGUGCGAGCGUUGUCCGGAAUUAUUGGGCGUAAAGAGCUCGUAGGCGGUGUGUCACGUCGAUCGUGAAACUUUCAGCUUAACUGGGAGCUUGCGUCGAUACGGGCAUCACUGGAGUUCGGCAGGGGAGACUGGAAUUCCCGGUGUAGCGGUGAAAUGCGCAGAUAUCGGGAGGAACACCAAUGGCGAAGGCAGCUCGCUGGGACGUUACUGACGCUGAGACGCGAAAGCGUGGGAGCAACAGG